rnacentral:rRNA from 1 species
UGCCAGCCGCCGCGGUAAUACGGGGGGUGCAAGCGUUAAUCGGAAUUACUGGGCGUAAAGCGCGCGUAGGCGGUUUGUUAAGUCAGAUGUGAAAGCCCUGGGCUCAACCUGGGAAUUGCAUUUGAUACUGGCAGACUAGAGUAUGGUAGAGGGAAGUGGAAUUCCGGGUGUAGCGGUGAAAUGCGUAGAGAUCAGAAGGAACACCGGUGGCGAAGGCGACUUCCUGGACUAUUACUGACACUGAGGAGCGAAAGCGUGGGGAGCAAACAGGAUUAGAUA